rnacentral:rRNA from 1 species
AGCUCCACUAGCGUAUAUUAAAGUUGCUGCAGUUAAAAAGCUCGUAGUCGGAUCUCGGGAUCGUGUCGGCGGCUUUGUCGCUUCUCCGUGCGUUUCGGCGUGCGGGGUUGUGGCGAGUCGUCGGCCCUUUCGGCGAGGUCCCCACCUUUGGAGGGGUUCCACCUCGCUCGUGCAGGCCGCCGUCGCGGUUUGGCGGGGGGCCUUAAUUGGAUGGCCCUCUCGAACGUGGCCCCUUUACCUUGAACAAAUCGGAGUGCUCAAAGCCGGCUCUUCAUCGCUCAAACGGUAGCGCAUGGAAUAAUGGAAGAGGACCGGCUUCCGCUUCUGUUGGUCUCACGGAGGCAGGUAAUGAUCAAGAGGGACGGUUGGGGGCAGAGGUAUGGCUCGGCGAGAGGUGAAAUUCUUGGACCCUUGCCAGACCCUCGAGAGCGAAAGCAUCUGCCAAAGAUGUUUCCA